rnacentral:rRNA from 1 species
UACGUAGGUGGCAAGCGUUAUCCGGAUUUACUGGGUGUAAAGGGCGUGUAGGCGGGACUGCAAGUCAGAUGUGAAAACCAUGGGCUCAACCCAUGGCCUGCAUUUGAAACUGUAGUUCUUGAGUGUUGGAGAGGCAGGCGGAAUUCCUAGUGUAGCGGCGAAAUGCGUAGAUAUUAGGAGGAACACCAGUGGCGAAGGCGGCCUGCUGGACGGUGUACUGACGCUGAGGCUCGAAAGCGUGGGGAGCAAACAGG